AUGGGGAGGUCGCCGUGCUGCGAGAAGGCGCACACCAACAAGGGCGCCUGGACCAAGGAGGAGGACGACCGGCUCACCGCCUACAUCAAGGCGCACGGCGAGGGCUGCUGGCGCUCCCUGCCCAAGGCCGCGGGGUUGCUCCGCUGCGGCAAGAGCUGCCGCCUCCGCUGGAUCAACUACCUCCGCCCCGACCUCAAGCGCGGCAACUUCAGCGAUGAGGAGGACGAGCUCAUCAUCAAGCUCCACAGCCUCCUGGGCAACAAAUGGUCUCUGAUAGCCGGGAGACUCCCAGGGAGGACGGACAACGAGAUCAAGAACUACUGGAACACGCACAUCAGGAGGAAGCUCACGAGCCGGGGGAUCGACCCGGUGACCCACCGCGCGAUCAACAGCGACCACGCCGCGUCCAACAUCACCAUAUCCUUCGAGACGGCGCAGAGGGACGACAAGGGCGCCGUGUUCCGGCGAGGCGCCGAGCCCACCAAGGUAGCGGCAGCGGCAGCGGCGAUCACCCACGUGGACCACCAUCACCAUCACCGUAGCAACCCCCAGAUGGACUGGGGCCAGGGGAAGCCACUCAAGUGCCCGGACCUGAACCUGGACCUGUGCAUCAGCCCCCCGUCCCACGAGGACCCCAUGGUGGACACCAAGCCCGUGGUGAAGAGGGAGGCCGGCGUCGGCGUCGGCGUCGUGGGCCUGUGCUUCAGCUGCAGCAUGGGGCUCCCCAGGAGCGUGGAGUGCAAGUGCAGCAGCUUCAUGGGGCUCCGGACCGCCAUGCUCGACUUCAGAAGCAUCGAGAUGAAAUGA
rnacentral:rRNA from 1 species